AACUUAAUAACAAAUUUAGGUGCUUUUUAUAUGUUAGUUUCAUAUAAAAGUGAAAAGGGAAUGCGGUUAAAAUCCGCAGCAGCCCCCGCUACUGUAAAUGAUGACGAGUCUUUAUAAUCCACUCUGUUUUAAGGGGAAGGAAAAGACAAGGAUGAUUCAUAAGCCAGGAGACCUGCCUAUAUUUACGUUUUUAA
rnacentral:ncRNA from 2 species